GUCUCUAUUCUGCUCUGUGUCAGUGUGUAUCAUGAUCUCUGAGGACAGGUGUCAAUCCAUAUCUGCCAAGUGACCCUAUGUAGGAGAACAGUCUCGAUUCUGCUCUGUGUCAGUGUGUAUCAUGGUCUGUGAGGACAGGUGUCAAUCCAUAUCUGCCAAGUGACCCUAUGUAGGAGGAACAGUCUCUAUUCUGCUCUGUGUCAGUGUGUAUCAGGGGCUCUGAGGACAGGUGUCAAUCCAUAUCUGCCAAUGACCCUAUGUAGGAGGAACAGUCUCUAUUCUUCUCUGUGUCAGUGUGUAUCAGGGGCUCUUAGGACAGGUGUCAAUCCAUAUCUGCCAAGUGACCCUAUGUAGG